AGAAUUGAGCGUCUUGAGUUCCUGGAUGAGCGCGAGCUGUUGCAACAACUUCUUCAACACUACAGCAUCUGCUGGGCCACCAAGGACAAACUCAAACUGGGUCUGUCACAGUUGGCGUUUUGAGUGUUAAACGGCUCCUCUGUUGAACAUGCUCUACAUGUGUGUGCGCCAAAAUCAACAAGUGGAGAAGAAGUACGGAGGGAGACACUGGGAAACAGGAAGUACGAUUAAUCUCGAUCAAGCCCUCUCCUUGGAGCUGUUCCGGUGCAAAAACUCCCGCCAUCAGCAGAAUGUCAUUUGUUGAACGUCCUUUUUAAGUGUCAGAAAAUAAGAGAAGGAACCGCCUGAGAACCGUGAAGACGUUUGUGUCUCUACUGUAAAAUAGUUCAGGUUUGUUUUAUUCAUUUGUUUACAGGCAGAUGUUGUCUGUGAUUGAGCACUUAUAUAAAAAUAGGAUUUCAAACCCUGCUCACAUGAGUUGAAAAUGAAUGAAAAUAUGUUUUCAGAUGCCAUUUAUUUGGCCUUUUCUGUUUUUUCCAUGUGCCAUUUUUGUUUUAUUUAUUCAUCAAUUCUACUUCCAGGAUCAUUUCAAUACAACACAUGCAGGUGAUAGACGUUAAGAAAUGCAAUACAUCGCAACUAAUAGUUCAUUUACAUUUCCCCGCAUUAUUUGUUCUAUUCUUGCGCCCUGUUUCAAGCAGGAAAAAGGACAUGAGGGAUUAGUUUGUGAAAGAGUUUUUGAUGAAAGCGGGUUAAGUGCAGUUGAAUAAAAGCUUUUUGUGUAA